rnacentral:rRNA from 1 species
CAUGGAAUAAUGGAACAAGGUUUCGGCCGAGUUUUAUUGGUUUUGUCGGCUGAGACAAUGGUUAACAGGAACAGCUGGGGGCACUCGUAUCCCGGCGCGAGAGGUGAAAUUCGUGGACCGUCGGGAGACGCCCUAAAGCGAAGGCAUUUGCCAAGAGUGUUUUCAUUAAUCAAGAACGAAAGUCAGAGGUUCGAAGGCGAUUAGAUACCGCCCUAGUUCUGACCGUAAACGAUGCCAACUAUCAAUCCGCCAGUAGCUUCCAGUUAUUGGCGGGCGGAUCGACGGAAACGAAAGUUUUUCGGUUCCGGGGGAAGUAUGGUUGCAAAGCUGAAACUUAAAGGAAUUGACGGAAGGGCACCACCAGGAGUGGAGCUUGCGGCUUAAUUUGACUCAACACGGGAAACCUCACCCGGCCAGUACAUCAUAAGGAUUGACAGAUUGAAAGCUCUUUCAUGAUUUGAUGAAUGGUGGUGCAUGGCCGUUCUUAGUUCGUGGCGUGAGUCGUCUGCUUAAUUGCGAUAACGAGCGAGACUCCGACUGUUAAAUAGCACCGAGAUCCUCGAGUCUCGGAGGCUUCUUAACUGGAUUCGCGGCUUCAAGCCGCAAGAAAUGGAGCAAUAACAGGUCUGUGAUGCCCUUAGAUGUUCGGGGCCGCACGCGUGCUACAAUGAUGGUAACAGCGUGAUUGUCCUCGCCCGACAGGGCUUGGCAAACAGUUGAGAUAUUAUUAUGGCUGGAAUUGAGUGUUGAAAUUUUCUCUCAUG